rnacentral:lncRNA from 1 species
ACGAUGGUUACUGGUUGUUACAGAGUGAGUAGACGAUGGUUACUGGUUGUUACAGAGUGAGUAGACGAUGGUUACUGGUUGUUGCAGAGUGAGUAGACGAUGGUUACUGGUUGUUACAGAGUGAGUAGACGAUGCUUACUGGUUGUUACAGAGUAAGUAGACGAUGGUUACUGGUUGCUACAGAGAGAGUAGACGAUGGUUAUUGGUUGUUACAGAAUGAGUAGACGAUGGUUACUGGUUGGUACAGAGUGAGUAGACGAUGGUUACUGGUUGUUACAGAAUGAGUAGACGAUGGUUACUGGUUGUUGCAGAGUGAGUAGACGAUGGUUACUGGUUGUUACAGAGUGAGUAGACAAUGGUUACUGGUUGUUACAGAGUGAGUAGACGAUGGUUACUGGUUGCUACAGAGUGAGUAGACGAUGGUUACUGGUUGUUGCAGAGUGAGUAGACGAUGGUUACUGGUUGUUACAGAGUGAGUAGACGAUGGUUACUGGUUGUUGCAGAGUGAGUAGACGAUGGUUACUGGUUGUUACAUAUGUUCCCCUGUCUAUCUCACUAUUGGUGUCAGUAGGUUCCCCUGUCUCUCUCUCUCUAUUGGUGUCAGUAUGUUCCCCUGUCACUCUCUCUCUAUUGGUGUCAGUAUGUUCCCCUGUCUCUCUUU